CCUACGGGAGGCAGCAGUGAGGAAUAUUGGUCAAUGGACGAGAGUCUGAACCAGCCAAGUAGCGUGAAGGAUGACUGCCCUAUGGGUUGUAAACUUCUUUUAUAAAGGAAUAAAACGAGCCACGUGUGCCGUUUUGCAUGUACUUUAUGAAUAAGGAUCGGCUAACUCCGUGCCAGCAGCCGCGGUAAUACGGAGGAUCCGAGCGUUAUCCGGAUUUAUUGGGUUUAAAGGGAGCGUAGAUGGGUUGUUAAGUCAGUUGUGAAAGUUUGCGGCUCAACCGUAAAAUUGCAAUUGAUACUGGCAGUCUUGAGGACAGUUGAGGUAGGCGGAAUUCGUGGUGUAGCGGUGAAAUGCUUAGAUAUCACGAAGAACCCCGAUUGCGAAGGCAGCUUACUAAACUGUGACUGACAUUGAUGCUCGAAAGUGUGGGUAUCAAACAGGAUUAGAUACCCUUGUAGUC
rnacentral:rRNA from 1 species